rnacentral:rRNA from 1 species
AACGAACGCUGGCGGCGUGCCUAACACAUGCAAGUCGUGCGAGAAAGUUCCUUCGGGAGCGAGUAAAGCGGCGCACGGGUGAGUAACACGUAGGUAACCUGCCCCCCAGUCUGGAACAACUAGAGGAAACUCUAGCUAAUGCCGGAUGAGACCACGAUCCCUUCGGGGUUGCGGCCAAAGAUGGCCUCUACUUGUAAGCUAUCGCUGAGGGAUGGACCUGCGGGCCAUUAGCUUGUUGGUGAGGUAACGGCUCACCAAGGCUGUGAUGGCUAGCUGGUCUGAGAGGAUGACCAGCCACACUGGGACUGAGACACGGCCCAGACUCCUACGGGAGGCAGCAGUGGGGAAUAUGCGCAAUGGGCGAAAGCCUGACGCAGCGACGCCGCGUGGGUGAUGAAGGCC